rnacentral:rRNA from 1 species
CGUCAACCAAAUCCAAUCAACCAAAGAUGGGCCUCAGCCCCUCAAAGCGCGUGGACGCGGCGCUCCGGCGGGCGCCGGCGUUCGCCGCCGCCUGCGACGCCGCCUUCGACCGCUGCCUCGCCGACGCCCAGCACGCCUUCUCCGGCGUCCGCCCCUACCAGCUCGCGGACGCGUCCGAGCACCUCCACUCGGCCCUGCGGGGCUCCCUCCCUAUCGUCCGCCGCUGGGUGCCCUCGCCGCCGCCGCGCGUGCGCGUAGACUCUGCGCUGCGCGCCUCUGGCUUGGAAGGCGCUGCCGAGCUCUCGCGGGAUCAGUUCGGGGAGUUCGCGGCCGAGCUGUUCAGGGAGGCCGUGCUCGCCGGCGCGGCAGAGGCGGCGCUCGUCCGUGCCCCGGCCGGCGCGGCCGGGAUCCUCGGGGUGGCCAUCGUGUCCCGCGCCGGCGCCGGGGCGGCUGGGAAGUUGGUCGCUGUCUACACCGCCGGCGUCGCCGCUGCUGUUUACCUCAGCUUGGGCUAGGCCUUUGUUAAGUUGUAAAUCAGCACAAUAAACUGCUUGUACUACUCCGAUGUAAUCUGAAGAGAUGUUUCUUGCGUAGUAUGGUCAGUAUAAAUACAAGAGAGAUUAGCAACAACAGGAGUGCCUAGGCUUGAAGGGAGGUGAUCAAGGUUUCAAGUAGGGUUUGGUUUUCAGGCCGCCAGGAUCGCAACUUCUUUGAACAUGGCCUCAUGCCAGCUUCUAGUCGCCAUGGCCAUCACUCCUGCAUACCUCUGGAGGUGUCCCAAUGAAUAUUCAAGAUCCCCCAGCAUGAAGCACUGAGCUCACAUUCGGAGAAUAAGUGAGUGUUAGUUUCAACAGGUUAGUUGGAGCAUAGCAAGCAUGAGUGAUCAUCACCAAUGUUGAAGUGCCUCCUGCAGAGAAGAUCCCUUGUUUUAACUCCAUCCAUGAACAUCAACCAGGCAAAAACCUUGUGCUUCAUCGUACACUUGGAUUUCGAGAUGGCAGGGACGUGUGUUGGAGGGUUUGGAUUUCUGAAGAAAAAUUUGUUGGAUUUGUUUGGCAUCCCGCCAACAGAUAAUCCGUUCAUCAGCCCUUAGAGGAUAAAGCGAGAUAUUGCUUAGCUUUUCGGUCAGCACCUCCAGUUCUUCUCUAGCUUGAAUAUAAACAGUGGCAAUUGAAAAUUCUGAUCAGGUUCAGGGUUAACCAUGAACUGGGCAAAGAAAUGUCUUCUUCUCUAGCAAACGAAAAGAGACAGCGACAUGAGUCUUGCAUUAGUCCCUUGGUGUCCCACAGAUCUUUACAGAGAAGGAUGGUGUCCCCGG